AUGACUGAUUUUUAGAUACUGAACUACUCUUGCAUCUCUGAAAUAAACGCUACUUGGUCAUGAUGUGUAAUUCUUUUUAUGUAGUGCUGGAUUCUAUUUGGUAAUACUUUGUUAAGGAUUUUUCUAUCUAAAAAGCAGUCAUUGU